UAGUCCACGCCGUAAACGAUGUCUACUAGCCGUUGGGAGACUUGAUCUCUUAGUGGCGCAGCUAACGCACUAAGUAGACCGCCUGGGGAGUACGGCCGCAAGGUUAAAACUCAAAGGAAUUGACGGGGACCCGCACAAGCGGUGGAGCAUGUGGUUUAAUUCGAGGCAACGCGAAGAACCUUACCAGGACUUGACAUCCUUAUCGCGCGCACCAGAGAUGGAGCGUUUCAGUUCGGCUGGAUAAGUGACAGGUGCUGCACGGCUGUCGACAGCUCGUGUCGUGAGAUGUUGGGUUAAGUCCCGCAACGAGCGCAACCCCUAUCCUUAGUUGCCAACACGUAAUGGUGGGAACUCUAAGGAAACCGCCGGAGUUAAUCCGGAGGAAGGUGGGGACGACGUCAAGUCAUCAUGGCCCUUAUGUCCUGGGCUACACACAUGCUACAAUGGCGGAUACAGAGGGUUGCCAACCAGCAAUGGUGCGCUAAUCCCUUAAAGCCCGUCGUAGUCCGGAUUGG
rnacentral:rRNA from 1 species